AGUUAACCCACUGUUCCUAGGCCAGUUAACCCACUGUUCCUAGACCAGUUAACCCACUGUUCCUAGACCAGUUAACCCACUGUUCCUAGACCAGUUAACCCACUGUUCCUAGGCCAGUUAACCCACUGUUACUAGACCAGUUAACCCACUGUUCCUAGACCAGUUAACCCACUGUUCCUAGACCAGUUAACCCACUGUUCCCAGUUAACCCACUGUUCCUAGACCAGUUAACCCACUGUUCCUAGACCAGUUAACCCACUGUUCCUAGACCAGUUAACCCACUGUUCCUAGACCAGUUAACCCUA
ensembl:lncRNA